rnacentral:rRNA from 1 species
CUUGUACACACCGCCCGUCAAACCAUGAAAGUCGUUUGCUCCAGAAGUGGCUGCGCCAACCCGCAAGGGAGGCAGGUCCCCAAGGAGUGAACGGUAACUGGGGUG